AACACUGUUAACCUGCGGUACCUGCGGAGGGAUCAUUAUUGAAACCUUCAAAACUUGGGUAUGCUUGGCCUGGCCUUUUGGCCGUAAGAGCCGGCUCCCAGUCAUCCCCCUUCACACCUUGCUCACCUUCAGAGGGGAAAAAGGAGGGGAGGGUUUGUUUGCCUUUUCCCACUUGACCCCCCCUUUUUUUCACAAACCUUAUUGUCACAGAAUGUUUUGUGUAUUUGACAAAAAUGAAAU
rnacentral:misc_RNA from 1 species